ensembl:lncRNA
AUAUAGUUCAGGGCCAUCCUACCUCAAUUGCUUCGAUUUUUGGUGUAAUUAUCAUUUGUGGAAAAGGUUUUAGAUACAAGAUAAAUGAUUGCGCAAAACACAGGGCCCUAGAAGAGGUAUCAACCAAAGCGGCAGUAUUCGACUCCCUCAUUCGAUGUUGGGGAGCUCUGUAUCGUGUUGUCAUUCACUGGAUCUCCAAGACUACAAUACACUACAAUCUACAGGUAAUUGUGCUUAGUGCAUGAUGGUGUAAUGGCAGUUCUUGUCCACAGUGAGGCGAUCUCACUCAAACCUUCCAAGCAGCCUUUCCCAGCUGAACUGAGCCUCCACUCUUCUGGGAAAUCUGUCCACUAGAUGUUGGAACAUUGCUGCGGGGACUUGCUUCCAUUCAGCCACAAGAGCAUUAGUGAG